CAGUAGCCGCGGUAAUACGAGGGGAGCUAGCGUUAUUCGGAACUACUGGGCGUAAAGCGCACGUAGGCGGCUUUGUAAGUUAGAGGUGAAAGCCCAGAGCUCAACUCUGGAAUUGCCUUUAAGGCUGCAUCGCUUGAAUCCAGGAGAGGUGAGUGGAAUUCCGAGUGUAGAGGUGAGAUUCGUAGAUAUUCGGAAGAACACCAGUGGCGAAGGCGGCUCACUGGACUGGUAUUGACGCUGAGGUGCGAAAGCGUGGGGAGCAAACAGGAUUAGAUACCCGUGUAGUCCCUGUCUCUUAUAC
rnacentral:rRNA from 1 species